ensembl:snoRNA
GGUGCUUACCCCAGGCUGUAUUCUUACACUGACUGCACAGAAAGGAGUAAAUCCACCCAUCUACACCACAGCCCAGGCCCUUUGCCUGGUCUGUACUACGAAUGGGAGGGCAUGG